rnacentral:rRNA from 1 species
CCGCACGAGCGCACCCCUAUCCUUAUUUGCCAGCACGUAAUGGUGGGAACUCUAGGGAGACUGCCGGUGAUAAACCGGAGGAAGGUGGGGACGACGUCAAGUCAUCAUGGCCCUUACGAGUAGGGCUACACACGUGCUACAAUGGCGUAUACAGAGGGUUGCAAAGCCGCGAGGUGGAGCUAAUCUCACAAAGUACGUCGUAGUCCGGAUCGGAGUCUGCAACUCGACUCCGUGAAGUCGGAAUCGCUAGUAAUCGUGGAUCAGAAUGCCACGGUGAAUACGUUCCCGGGCCUUGUACACACCGCCCGUCACACCAUGGGAGUGGGCUGCAAAAGAAGUGGGUAGUUUAACCUUCGGGAGAACGCUCACCACUUUGUGGUCCAUGACCGGGGUGAAGUCGUAACAAGGUAGCCCUAGGGGAACCUGGGGCUGGAUCACCUCCUU